rnacentral:tRNA from 1 species
AGGAAUUUAGGUUAAAAGACCAAGAGCCUUCAAAGCCCUAAGUAGAUAUUAAUAUAAAUCUAAUUCCUG